rnacentral:rRNA from 1 species
CCUCCAACCGAAAUAAGCGGGCGAGGCAAAAGAAAUAAGCGGGUUAUAAAUAGGGGGAUACCACACUCUGCGGGGGAGGACGAGAGGACAGGUUCGAUUUAGCCGUCGGCGAUCCGAGGAAUGUACAGCGUCGAGUCUGCUAGCUCUUCCUCUUAACUCUUCCUAUCUAGUCCACCGCUGACACUCCCUGUCUCUUCCGGACUUUUGUACCACCGCCGACCCAGCUGCCCUCUCUCUUCCCCGCACGACACCGCCGGAGGUCCGCGGGCUUAGAGGGAAUAAGCGAGGAGGUCCAGUGACGGCACAGCGGAUGGCAGAGGGAGCCUGUCCACUCAAGUGGCAGCUACUACGGAGGAGGUUGGUGCACACCAUGGGCACCAGGACCAGUUCCAUUAGUAGUUAAGAUAGUUAAGAUAACCGCGGUCAAGGAAGCGAAUGGGAGUGACAAUCGGGGUCCAAGCAACGUUUGAAGGUUGUCUAUUACCGCUCCUCUGCGUUAAGGGAUCGUCGUUAAAAGAAAAUCUCCAUAUACAUAAUCAAGACAUACUCAAAGAAAUAAAAAAUUAUUUACUUACCCUUGCGGUAGUUGUUUCAUCGUAUUUUAGAAUAUCCAAAACGGUCAGGUUCACGUUAGGUACGUCAAGUGUUAGGAAUCUACUGUCAUCUUUAUUUUAAUAAUGCAUAAAGUCAGACUACAAGACACGUUAAGUUGCUCGAAUUAAUCUACACAUCAACUACACAAUAAUUAACUAGGUUGAUGGUUUACGAUGAGAUACUUUAAUCAACACAAAAUCGCGGUAACAUUAUCGCUUGUAUCAGACGAUACAUUAUACUUCUGAGGUAGUUGAGAAACAGUAAAGAAAAUAAGAGUACGCGGGUCUGGACGACUACUAAACGCACCCCUACAACAACCGGUACACACAAUCCCAGUGUCGAGUACCCUCUCUACAGUCUCGAGUCAGUCAAUAUAUCCCCUGAUGUAGCUCCAGCUCCAUGUGUACAUGACUUGCAAGUAGGACACAUCAACAGCAUCGUACUGGUCCAUAUCAUCCCUUCAUGGCUUCAUCGUAAACAUUACCCGCGUUCGUUUAUAACGAAAUGAUGUCUUCGUCGUUUUUGAAUCGCAUACAACCGUCGGUGGUGUUGUACAGUUCGCUAUCGUACUCGUUUAGCCUCUUGCUCAUCAACACCUGACCCUCCUACUAAAGAAAAACAUGUAAAAAACAAUCAUAAAAUAAUGUACUAUCAUCAAGUAACCACGUUU